rnacentral:lncRNA from 1 species
AAAUAUUUUUAUCCAUUAUCUACAAUAUUAAGGAUAUAUAUUCAGUAUAGGUAUGGAUUAGGUUCUUUGACAAGUUUGUUAUAGACUUGUUGUCAAUGAAUAACUUCAUUCUUAUACGGUACUUCAAGUUCAACUCAAUCCACACUUUAUUUGGCCAUGUAGCUUGAUAUAUACACAUUGCAACAACUGUGUAUUAUGUAUUAUGCUUCACACGUGGACAAAACAACUACUUAUUCUUUCUUCAAACUCCCUGAGGUCGAGGCUUCUUCUACAAAGAAUACAAAAUUGCAGUGCUUUUAAUCAUCCUGAUGACCUUCCCAUUUCAAUUUAUAUGGACCCAACAACUUCAAUUGCUUGAGUUGAAGUGUUGUUUUUGUGAAAAUAGAAUACCAUUUUUCACAGUUCCUUUUAUGUAUCCAAGAAUCUUUUUGGCGGAUUGAAGAUGAGAUACCCUAG